GCCGGCGACAAGCCGGAGGAAGGGUGGGGAUGACGUCAAGUCAUCAUCGGCCCUUAUGUCCAGGGCGACACACGUGCUACAAUGGCCGGCACAGGCGGAAGCGAGGGGCGACCUUGAGCGGAUCCCUCAAAGCCGGUCUCAGUUCGGAUUGCAGUCUGCAACUCGACUGCAUGAAGUUGGAAUCGCUAGUAAUCGUGGAUCAGCCAAGCCGCGGUGAAUACGUUCCCGGGCCUU
rnacentral:rRNA from 1 species